rnacentral:rRNA from 1 species
CCUACGGGUGGCAGCAGUGAGGAAUAUUGGUCAAUGGACGCAAGUCUGAACCAGCCAUGCCGCGUGCAGGAAGACGGCUCUAUGAGUUGUAAACUGCGUUUGUACGAGGGUAAAUCCCGAUACGUGGAUCGGGUUGAAAGUAUCGUACGAAUAAGGAUCGGCUAACUCCGUGCCAGCAGCCGCGGUAAUACGGAGGAUGCAAGCGUUAUCCGGAUUUAUUGGGUUUAAAGGGUGCGUAGGCGGGUCGAUAAGUUAGAGGUGAAACCCCGGGGCUCAACUCCGGCACUGCCUCUGUUACUUUCGGGCUAGCGUUUAGUUGCGGUCGGCGGAAUGUAUGUUGUAGCGGUGAAAUUCUUCGAGCUCAUACAGAACACCGAUUGCGCAGGCAGCUUACCACACUACGCCUGACGUUGAGGCAC